rnacentral:rRNA from 1 species
GUGAUGGCUCAGUGAGGCGUCCGGACUGGCCCAGGGAGGUGGGCAACUACCCCCCAGGGCCGGAAAGCUCUCCAAACUCGGUCAUUUAGAGGAAGUAAAAGUCGUAACAAGGUCUCCGUUGGUGAACCAGCGGAGGGAUCAUUACCGAGUUUUCAACUCCCAAACCCUUAUGUGAACCUACCUAUCGUUGCUUCGGCGGACUCGCCCCAGCCGGACGCGGACUGGACCAGCGGCCGCCGGGGACCAUCAAACUCUUGUAUUAUCAGCAUCUUCUGAAUACGCCGCAAGGCAAAACAAAUAAAUUAAAACUUUCAACAACGGAUCUCUUGGCUCUGGCAUCGAUGAAGAACGCAGCGAAAUGCGAUAAGUAAUGUGAAUUGCAGAAUCCAGUGAAUCAUCGAAUCUUUGAACGCACAUUGCGCCCGCCAGCAUUCUGGCGGGCAUGCCUGUUCGAGCGUCAUUUCAACCCUCGACCUCCCUUUGGGGAAGUCGGCGUUGGGGACCGGCAGCACACCGCCGGCCCUGAAAUGGAGUGGCGGCCCGUCCGCGGCGACCUCUGCGUAGUAAACCAACUCGCACCGGAACCCCGACGUGGCCACGCCGUAAAACACCCAACUUCUGAACGUUGACCUCGAAUCAGGUAGGACUACCCGCUGAACUUAAGCAUAUCAAUAAGCGGAGGAAAAGAAACCAACAGGGAUUGCCCCAGUAACGGCGAGUGAAGCGGCAACAGCUCAAAUUUGAAAUCUGGCCCUCGGGUCCGAGUUGUAAUUUGUAGAGGAUGCUUUUGGCGAGGUGCCUUCCGAGUUCCCUGGAACGGGACGCCAUAGAGGGUGAGAGCCCCGUCUGGUCGGACACCGAGC